AAGAAAAUCCCAUUUGGAGUAUCAUAAGUAAUGGAAAUGCCUGAAGAAUAUAGGAUGAUGUUUGACAUAUUGGAUUAACAUGGUCUUAAUAGUAGAUCAAUGGCGAAGAAAAAGGGCUGGUUUGGUUGGGUCAAGAGGUUCUUUACUUCUGAAGCAAAGACAAGGACACAAAAGAAAUCAAACAACUGGAGAUGGAUUUUUCGAAGACUUGAAGUACUUCAUCAAUACCCUGCACAGGCUGCACUGACAGCACCAGA